rnacentral:rRNA from 1 species
GAAGAGGGAAAAGCUCAAAUUUGUAAUCUGGCGGUCUCUGGCCGUCCGAGUUGUAAUUUGGAGAGUCGCUUUCCGCGUCGGACCACGUACAAGUCCCCUGGAACGGGGCGUCGUAGAGGGUGAGAAUCCCGUUCACGACGUGGACUACCGAGGCUAUGUGAUGCGUCCUCUAAGAGUCGAGUUGUUUGAGAAUGCAGCUCAAAAUGGGUGGUAAAUUCCAUCUAAAGCUAAAUAUUGGCGAGAGACCGAUAGCGAACAAGUACCGUGAGGGAAAGAUGAAAAGAACUUUGGAAAGAGAGUUAAACAGUACGUGAAAUUGCUGAAAGGGAAACGCUUGGAGUCAGUCGCUUCGCCGAGGACUCAGCCGGGCUUCUGUUCGGUGUACUUCCUCGGUGAGGGGUCAGCAUCGAUUUCGUCUGCGGGAAAACGGCGUGAGGAAUGUGGCACCUCCGGGUGUGUUAUAGCCUUGCGUUAUUGAACCGUGGCUGGGAUCGAGGACCGCAGCGCGCCCGCAAGGGACGAGGCUCGCCUCAGACACGCGCUUAGGAUGCUGGCGUAAUGGCUUUAAGCGACCCGUCUUGAAACACGGACCAAGGAGUCUAACAUGCUCGCGAGUGUUAGAGUGUCAAA